GAGUUCUGAUGAAGAUGGCAGAGCAACUCUGCUGUGAAAAGCUGUGUGUGAGAAAACCACCCGGAAGAUGUCAUGUAGGAGGGACUCUGGGCCUUUUCCAGUGAUCCCAACAGGCUUUUACAGUUUUGUUUUUUCCCCUCACCUGAAGGACUCAUUGUACUGACAGUGGCUGGAGGCUGAAUAUUUUGCCAAUCACAAGCGCAAUCUGAAAACAUGGCAGUUCUGAAAAGAUAUUGAUGCAGGCUGUGCUUGCAAUGUGUGCAAAACCAUGACUCUUGGAAAUACGUUUGGUGAAGCAAACAAGAGACACGCGGCAUCCUGAAAUUCUCCACCUGAGGAAAAAUCAAUGUUGCUUUCCUUAGAGUGCUUACAGACAUCAGCACCCAGGAGCCAGGAAACCUUGUGAAAGCAAGAGCAAUAAUUUACCAGAUCAUCUGGUAAAUUAUCUGUAUUCCAGCAUGGACAGAAGGUCAGUUUAGCUGGGCAGUGUGCACACGGAUUAAUGCCCAGCAGCGCUGGACCAGGGUACAUCUGCACAGUCACAUUCCUGCCCAGGCUUAAGUGAACCUGAGAUGGUCCCUGCUGAUCAUCUAAAGGGCUUCAGGAGCCCAGCAGCCCCCAGCCCUCUGGCAAGGCUGAGGUACCAUAUGACUGUCUGCAUCUGACCACGUAGACACUUCCUGUGGGAUGGGACGGGCUGUGCUGGCAUCUGUGUACAGCACAGCCUGUGAUGAAUGCAGCCAGAAAAGCCAAGCAAAGGAUCCUUCUUUUUUAGAGGCAAAGGCUCAUGCAUAGUCUCAGAGUUGUCUCAUUUCCCAUCCAUUCCCCUUGGUCACCGUGGAGCCCUAACAGGGAGCCUGGGCUGCACAACCAACCGGUUCCCAGUAGGCAGCCAUCUCAUCCUUGGCAUAUUUUUAGUGAGAGGAGAGGCAGUUCAUACCAAAGCCACAGGGUCAGUAGUCUGAUUCUAAAAUUCUUCUUAAACAGUGAUCUAAAAUAAGUUUCAGUUACCCAAAAUUCCUUGCUUUUUUCCCAGUUACAUUCAAUGGCCUCAAGGAAAGUUUGUUACUUCUCUCCAAAAUCUGCCUUCCCAAAGGGCAAAGGAAAAUCUCCACUCCUCCGAAGAGCAUCCACCAAAAGCCCACAUUGAAUAAAGGAGCUUUUUUAAGGGAGUCAGUAGGAAACUGAGAAGAAUAAUUUAAAUUUACUCCAUUCUGUGGCCCAUGUAGGGCCUGCUGGGCUUUGCAACACUUGAAGGUCAGUGUUGGUGCCACUUCUUUCAAGAGCCUAGCAAAAAACAUUUCUUUCCAGCACAAUCCAGGAGACAGGACUCCAGUAAGAAACUUCUGCACACUGGGCUCUUCUCAACAGCAAAGAUGCCUUUCUAGAACCCUGACUCAUCUGCCCAACAGCUGUCCUGACGGUCAGAGUAGAGUCUGCUUGGUGAAAGAAGGGAGUGUGCAAGAUGUGCUCUUGAUCCAUCUUGUUGGAGCUGGCCACACUGCAUAAAUUAAUUCACCACUGAGCAGGAGUUGUCUUUCUGCAGUCCAGUGGCCCAGAGACUUCAUGAGGGACAGAGGUGCCAGUUUCAGUGACUGCUUCAGGCCCUUAGACAGAGCUGGGAGAAAUGAUGGUACUGGAAAAAGAAAUUAGAUUUUAGCCCAGGCCCAUAUUGUGAACACUGGAUCUUGUAUCUGCUGAAGUAGAGAUGGGUUCAAAACAAAAGGCAAGAAGAGCUCUGAGGAGAGCCCACCACCUCAGCAAUAGAAAUGACAAUAAACAAUGGUUAUUUCUUCCCUGUUACAGGUUUUGCAGGAUGUCCUAAUUACCUUGACAUUAUUAGUGCGGAAGUUGUGCUCUAUCCACCCACUAAGUACAGGAAACAUGCCCAGUGUGUAAUUCUAUCCUUCACCUCGCAUGCCUCCGAUGGGCUGGAGUCUGAGAGGAAACUGAAUAGCCUGGAAAGGUUAGCCAGAGACAGAGAGAAAUUAACCCUUUCAUUUUCACUGACUGCCCUUUAUUUUCUGAAAGUAGAAUUGGUGGGUGGAGCACAGGUGUUGCCUUGGAGGAGAUUAGAGAAAUCUUUUAAUGUUAGAUCGACCAGUUUCUCAGAAUCACAAGGGGUGUUUGUUGUGCAGCCUGUUUGUUUCAGAUAUGUUCAGUAAUUGAGGAAAAUUUAUUAUGGUUUAUUUCUUACUGGUUAUUUACUAUCAUGUCACUAAGGCUGAAAUCAAUGUUGUAACUUCACCAUGUCAAACUGGGAACAGAGACACUGCACAGAGCAAAGAGCAAGUCUGAUGUAUGGCAUGUAACAGAUGAAAGAGGAAGAGCUACAGAAGAGAGGCUGUGGUCAUUGUCUUUAUUUUUCCUAAAUAUGCAAAUUUAAAGGAAAUAUUAAUAGUCAAAAGAGGCCUUACAAUUGUGGACUAAUUAUUUCCUCUCCAUGCCCUGGUUGGAAUGGGUGUCCAGCAGAGCAGCAGCUCAUGGAGCCUCUGCUCAUUCUGAGUGGAUAUGUACAAACCCACCUGUGGUCCUGUGUCUGAGCUCUCAGAGGUAUUUGCACAUAAAAGGGAGGUGCAGUCUGGGUAGCUGGGGAAAGAGCAGACACAGGUGGAGAAGGUAAUAUGGGGAGGCACAGGACAACAACAGGUGAAUUCUCUUGGUGCAGAUGAGUGUUUGAGUUUUGGCAUUGGAAACAGUAGGAAUAUAUUAAUUAAGGCAAGAGAGGCCACAGAACAACAAGCAAGAAAACUGUAAGUUAAACACAAAGGUUGAGCUGGCUUGUGUGCAUUUCAAAUGCUGGUCUAAUUUGUAUCUAUAGGACAACAAGGAUUAAAUGGAGAUAAUCCCUUUACAAUGGUGUAAUUGGUACAGGUGAGUCAGUUAGCAUCAGGAUUGUGUAAGUGUAGAAAUAAUUGUUUAAGUAAGUCAUGGCAAAGGGAUUGAAGGAAAUGCUGGAGAGUAGAGCAAGAUGUGCUCAUAGAAAUGUUUAUUCCCUAUUAGAGCCACUUGGAAAGAGGUAAAGAGCAAGUCAGAAUAACAUUACACUGUCUUAUUUGCACACUGAGUUCAGGAACACAGAGUCUCUGCACAAGAAAAAAAGAAUUGGCUACAUUUAUAUUAAUAGAGUGAAAAAGAGCUUUGCCUUUCACUGUUCAUCCAGCCUUGAUUGUCCAUGAAGGAAAGGGCAGGUCUAUAAAUUUUGUGCAUAUAGCUAUGAAGUGUCACUGCAGUGCUCUGAAGUCUCCCAUCUGUGAGGGGCCUGCAAGGGCAGGGAUGCUUUUCAUGGUCCAUUUUGAGGACUGCCAUAGGAGGGACUUGCUAUGCAGGAGACUUGGCUUUUGCUCUCAUUUGUUCUGUGUGUUUCUCAAUCAGACAUAAAAUCAUUCUGCUUGAAAUUGCCCAUCUGCUCUCUGUGAUUCAGGACAAAGUUACUAAAAAAUCAAUACAGAUCUUUCUCCCCUCCCUACUCAUUACUGUGUACUUGAAAACUACAGUCAGGUCUGAAAGCAGAUUUCUAUUUGCAUUUAAGCACUUCCCUGAAAUACUUGCUGUAGUAAAGUAGGAAAUGAGGGAAGGGGAAAAUGCAAAAGUCUGAAAACAGUAUGAAUCCUGACAACUUCAGGUCUGAAAGUGUUAUA